rfam:Vibrio metschnikovii CIP 69.14 VIB.Contig139, whole genome shotgun sequence.
UUUCACUUGUCGGAGUGCCAUAUGGCUGAGACCGUUUAUUCGGGAUCCGUUGAACCUGAUCAGGCUAAUACCUGCGAAGGGAACAAGAGAAGACAAUUU